AUUGAACGCUGGCGGCAGGCCUAACACAUGCAAGUCGAACGAGUGGCGGACGGGUGAGUAAUGUCUGGGAAACUGCCUGAUGGAGGGGGAAAACUUCUGGAAACGGUAGCUAAUACCGCAUACCAUCGGAUGUGCCCAGAUGGGAUUAUCUAGUAGGUGGGGAAACGGCUCACCUAGGCGACGAUCCCUAGCUGGUCUGAGAGGAUGACCAGCCACACUGGAACUGAGACACGGUCCAGACUCCUACGGGAGGCAGCAGUGGGGAAUAUUGCACAAUGGGCGCAAGCCUGAUGCAGCCAUGCCGCGUGUAUGAAGAAGGCCGUCGGGUUGUAAAGUACUUUCAGUGGGGAGGCGUUACCCGCAGAAGAAGCACCGGCUAACUCCGUGCCAGCCGCCGCGGUAAUUC
rnacentral:rRNA from 1 species